rnacentral:rRNA from 1 species
GACUCUCGGCAACGGAUAUCUCGGCUCUCGCAUCGAUGAAGAACGUAGCGAAAUGCGAUACCUGGUGUGAAUUGCAGAAUCCCGUGAACCAUCGAGUCUUUGAACGCAAGUUGCGCCCGAGGCCAUCCGGCUAAGGGCACGCCUGCCUGGGCGUCACGCUU